CUCAGGCAAUCCACCCACCUCGGCCUCUGAAAGUGCUGGGAUUACAGGUGUGAGCCACCACGCCCGGCCUGUCAGUGACACUCCUAGAGCAGAGUGAAAACUCGGCUCCACUUCAUCUGCACAAUUGUAAAGCUGGCUUAAGAGCGCCUGGCUGUUUUAUGGAAUGUUUGGAGCAGUACUGCUCUCCGUAGAACUCUCAAGGACUCAGAGAAGGAGGUGGCAGGCAGACACAGACAUCACGACUCUCAGACCAAAAAUGAUUCAAACAAGUUGGACUCUAAAUGUGAAGGAGUUUUCUGAACAUGGCUGGACGAUGAAUGUGAUGGCUGGAACUCAAGCAGCCACAGUGGAUCAUAAGGGACGGUGUCUUGCUAUGUUGUCCAAGCUGGUCUCAAACUGGCCUGAAUCAAUGCUUCCACCUCAGCUGCCAGAGGAACCGGGAUUACAGGCCUGAGCCACUGCAGCCAGCCAGUUUGUUAUUUUAAUGUAAAUUCUUAGUAAACAACUCAGGAGCUCUCUUGUCCUUUUAAAAUCCAUUUCAACUUCUGCUAAUCGGAGUGUAUAUUCAGGGCAACUUGAAUCUGUGCUCCUGGGAUGCAAUCCUCAAGCUUGGCCCAAAUAAAGUCUCCGCUGAUAUUAA
rnacentral:lncRNA from 1 species